rnacentral:rRNA from 1 species
GACGAACGCUGGCGGCGUGCUUAACACAUGCAAGUCGAACGAAGUGGCGAACGGGUGAGUAACGCGUAAUCAACCUGCCCUUAAGAGGGGGACAACAGUAGGAAACGACGGAUAAUACCGCAUAAGGAAGGAGGGGAAUGAGUCUGAUUAGCUAGUUGGAGGGGUAAGGGCCCACCAAGGCGAAGGUCAGUAGCCGGUCUGGGGUGAUGAACGGCCACAUUGGGACUGAGACACGGCCCAGACUCCUACGGGAGGCAGCAGUGGGGAAUCUUCCGCAAUGGACGAAAGUCUGACGGAGCAACGCCGCGUGGGUGAUGACGGCCUUCGGGUUGUAAAGCUCUGUUAAUCGGGACGCGGUACCGGAAUAGAAAGCCACGGCUAACUACGUGCCAGCAGCCGCGGUAAUUC